UCCAGACUCCUACGGGAGGCAGCAGUGGGGAAUAUUGCACAAUGGGGGAAACCCUGAUGCAGCGACGCCGCGUGAGUGAAGAAGUAUUUCGGUAUGUAAAGCUCUAUCAGCAGGGAAGAAAAUGACGGUACCUGACUAAGAAGCCCCGGCUAACUACGUGCCAGCAGCCGCGGUAAUACGUAGGGAGCGAGCGUUGUCCGGAAUUACUGGGUGUAGAGGGAGCGUAGGCGGGCGAGAAAGUUGAAUGUUAAAUCUACCGGCUUAACUGGUAGCUGCGUUCAAAACUUCUUGUCUUGAGUGAAGUAGAGGCAGGCGGAAUUCCUAGUGUAGCGGUGAAAUGCGUAGAUAUUAGGAGGAACACCAGUGGCGAAGGCGGCUUACUGGACGGUAACUGACGUUGAGGCUCGAAGGCGUGGGGAGCAAACAGGAUUAGAUACCCCUGUA
rnacentral:rRNA from 1 species